AAAAUGGUAGAUAUCAUAUUUCUUGGCUAAGCUCUGGCUUUAAAGUGAUUUCUAGCUCAUUUUGAUCUAAUUAAAAGGUAUUUUAUCUUAAUUUAAGAAAUCCUUAAUGAAUUUAAGCAAAUUGAAUGUAAGCUUGAUUUUUCCGGAAAAAUUAGAUCAGUAAAAUUGGAUGUAAUUGAUGGAUUGGAUAUGUAAUUAGAUGAUAUUUAGGUAUAUUAGAAUCAAAAUUAAGGCUUAGAGAUCAAGUUUGAGUGGUAAAACACCUAUUUCGGCAAAACUAGUUAAACUUUCGGUAUGAGAAAAGUGAGCUUCGAGUGGUGAUUUUGCUACUAUUUUUUUAGUUUAAGGCUGAUAAUAAUGAUUUUUAUAUUGUAUUUAAUGUGUAUGCAAUGUUUCGGAUUCAUUGGGAGAUUUCACGAGCAAUUUGAAAGGGUAAUAAAAGCUUGUUUGACAUUGUUGUGCAAGAUGUAUUGACUAAGUGACUUAUCUUGUGAAGAGGUGUGGGAGUGAGUCAUCCAAGUGAUCCAAAUCGAGGCUAUAUCUGGGUACAUCAUUAUGUUCCCUAACCUAAUGAGGAAGGCAAUGUGAGACCAAGUUAUGGGAUUUAGUAUUAAACUUAUAAUUUUCAAGUUGUAAUGGGACACUGUGGACUAUUUAAUUGUUUGGUUUAAAACUUUUAUCAUUGCGUUAGAUAGAUGAUUGAAUGAUGGAUUAUGAUUGUUUGAUAAUUGGUUUGAAUAAUUGUUCGACUAACUUGUAAGUGCGGAUUGAAGAGUCGUUGGUCAUCGAGGUAAA